UACCAGCACCCCGAGUGGUCGGGACGUUUUAUUGGGCCUAAAGCAUCCGUAGCCGGUUCUACAAGUCUUCCGUUAAAUCCAGCUGCUUAACAGAUGGGCUGCGGAAGAUACUAUGGAGCUAGGAGGCGGGAGAGGCAAGCGGUACUCGAUGGGUAGGGGUAAAAUCCGUUGAUCCAUUGAAGACCACCAGUGGCGAAGGCGGCUUGCCAGAACGGCGCUCGACGGUGAGGGAUGAAAGCUGGGGGAGCAAACCGGG
rnacentral:rRNA from 1 species